rnacentral:lncRNA from 10 species
GUUUUUGCUCAUUAGGUCCAAUCACCUUAAUGCCAGCAGCAUUACAGACAAUAGUAAACUACUUUUCUUACGUCCGGGUCAUGCUAAUGCAAGAAGUGGGAUCCCCUGCUCUUGGGCAGCUCUGCCUAUGUGGCUUUGCCAGGUACAGCCUCCUUCCCAGCUGCUUUCAUGGGCUGGCAUUAAGUGUCUGUCUAUUUUCCAGGUGCAUGGUGUAAGCUGUAAGUGUAUCUACUUUCUGAGGUCUGGAGGAUGGUGGCACUCUUCUCAUAGCUCCACUAGGCAGUGCCCCGGUAGGGAUUCUCUGUGGGGGCUCCAACAUCCAAGAGUUUCUAUACAUCCUCUGAAAUCUAAGCAGGGGUUUCCA